rnacentral:rRNA from 1 species
CACGUAGGACGCAAGCGUUAUCCGGAAUUACUGGGCGUAAAGGGCGUGUAGGCGGCACGGUAAGUCAACCGUGAAAGCUCCCGGCUAAACUGGGAGAGGUCGGAUGAGACUGCCGAGCUAGAGGGUCGUAGAGGGGUGUGGAAUUCCGGGUGUAGUGGUGAAAUGCGUAGAGAUCCGGAGGAACACCAGAGGCGAAGGCGGCACCCUGGACGACACCAGACGCUGAGACGCGACAGCACGGGGAGCGAAC